rnacentral:rRNA from 1 species
AUUGAACGCUGGCGGGAGGCUUAACACAUGCAAGUCGAGCGAGCGGCGGACGGGUGAGUAAUGUCUGGGAAAAUGCCCGAUGGAGGGGGAUAACUACUGGGAAAGGUAGCUAAUACCGCAUACUAUUAGAUGUGCCCAGAUGGGAUUAGAUAGUAGGUGGGGUAAUGGCUCACCUAGGCGACGAUCCCUAGCUGGUCUGAGAGGAUGACCAGCCACACUGGAACUGAGACACGGUCCAGACUCCUACGGGAGGCAGCAGUGGGGAAUAUUGGACAAUGGGCGAAAGCCUGAUGCAGCCAUGCCGCGUGUGUGAAGAAGGCCUUCGGGUUGUAAAGCACUUUCAGCGAGGAGGCGUUACUCGCAGAAGAAGCACCGGCUAACUCCGUGCCAGCAGCCGCGGUAAUUC